AAGAUAACAGUGUUGGGAUUGAGUGGAAGCGGAGAGUCAUUUGCUCUCGAGGUUGAUGGAAGUUCAGUGUCAGAUGUCUCCCAUGUACAGCUUACUGCAUCUGAACAGCAUGUAGCCACUGAUAAGUUAGAAGAUGAAGGAGAUACGAGGAAGAGCAUGAUGAUAGAAAUUCAGGGAUUGGACCUGCCAGUAGGGAAAAACUUUGCCAUGUCCUGGAAAAUGGGCGUCCAUGGUUAAGGUCCCUGCCUUUUUAGAUUUGCUUGUUUAGUAUUUUUCCUUUUUUUUUUUUUGUUUUCAAAUUUUCUUUCUUCAAUUGUUGAUGCUUUUGGUGCUUCACAUUUGUGUUGCUGGAGAUGAGAUGGGCGAAGAAUGCUCUCCAUUUCCCAUGCACACAAGCAGGGAUGAUGAGGACUUGACUCUCUUGCUUUGCUUUAGGCUUUCUUUGAAUCUCUAGGCUUGUAGCUUCAAUUGGCUUCAAUGCAGUUUUAUAAUGUUAUGAAUCUUUGAGAUCUAUCUUGCCUUCUUCACACUUUU
rnacentral:lncRNA from 1 species